AGAGUUUGAUCCUGGCUCAGAUUGAACGCUGGCGGCAGGCCUAACACAUGCAAGUCGAACGGUAGCACAGAGGAGCUUGCUCCUUGGGUGACGAGUGGCGGACGGGUGAGUAAUGUCUGGGAAACUGCCUGAUGGAGGGGGAUAACUACUGGAAACGGUAGCUAAUACCGCAUAACGUCGCAAGACCAAAGUGGGGGACCUUCGGGCCUCAUGCCAUCAGAUGUGCCCAGAUGGGAUUAGCUAGUAGGUGGGGUAAUGGCUCACCUAGGCGACGAUCCCUAGCUGGUCUGAGAGGAUGACCAGCCACACUGGAACUGAGACACGGUCCAGACUCCUACGGGAGGCAGCAGUGGGGAAUAUUGCACAAUGGGCGCAAGCCUGAUGCAGCCAUGCCGCGUGUAUGAAGAAGGCCUUCGGGUUGUAAAGUACUUUCAGCGAGGAGGAAGGCAUUAAGGUUAAUAACCUUAGUGAUUGACGUUACUCGCAGAAGAAGCACCGGCUAACUCCGUGCCAGCAGCCGCGGUAA
rnacentral:rRNA from 1 species